CCUGUGAAGACACUCUGAUUGCGCUCCGGGAGAGAGAGAAGCAAAUUAGCCAAUCACAGCAGCUCUGCUAACGACUUCACAUUCACGCAAUUCGCUGUCUGCUUCCCACGUGGACAAAGAAACUGAGAAAGGGACCAAAUCAACAUCUCAGAAGAAAAAAUAUCUUUGAUGAGCGAAUUAAAACGAAAGAUCUCUUGAUUAUUGAAAGCAUAUGAGGUGAUUCUCACUCCAAGGUCAAAAUCCAACGGCACCUUCGCAAACCAAAGUUUCUAUCAUUCCGUCAGGAAAACAUUCAGGGCAUAUGACAUGUCAGGUGUGACAUGAAAAAAUCUGUGGAAAGUAGAACAAGGAGGAUCUUAAUCAAAUAGUCAGAUGCGGCAGAUCUGACCCCUCUGUCCACACCUCCUGGCGUCUGGCGUCUCUUGAGAUCCAGGUGACAACCGUCCGGGGAGGAGAUGGACGCCGUGUGUGAAAGCAGACUGAGCAGGCAGAGCCGGUUUGCAGGCUGUUGAAGCAUCACAAGGUGGGAAGGAAACGCACCGUGGUGUCAUGAGAGGAGCUUCGGGGGAACUGACCUGGUCCCUGGACCAGGAUGUGGGGAUGAUGAGAGUCACAGAAGAAUCCCUCAAGGAGGUGACACUUCAUCUGAGACAUGACAGUUGCUCCAAUUUUUGUCUCUCGACAAUACUGCCACCAUGCGUGUCAUCUGAACCUGUGUGUGGAGUAGGCAGGUCUCGAGUUCAAGAUCCCUGGCGGGUAAACAACAAUUGAAACAAUUUCAAGUUCAUGGACAUCCCCUGCAAUCAACAUCAACUACUCCAUCAAGAAAACAAGACCUUGGUA